UACGGGAGGCAGCAGUGGGGAAUAUUGCACAAUGGGCGCAAGCCUGAUGCAGCCAUGCCGCGUGUAUGAAGAAGGCCUUCGGGUUGUAAAGUACUUUCAGUCGUGAGGAAGGUGUUAAGGUUAAUAACCUUAGCAAUUGACGUUAGCGACAGAAGAAGCACCGGCUAACUCCGUGCCAGCAGCCGCGGUAAUACGGAGGGUGCGAGCGUUAAUCGGAAUUACUGGGCGUAAAGGGCACGCAGGCGGUUAAUUAAGUUGGAUGUGAAAUCCCCGGGCUUAACCUGGGAAUGGCAUUCAAGACUGGUUAGCUAGAGUCUUGUAGAGGGGGUGAAUUCCAUGUGUAGCGGUGAAAUGCGUAGAGAUGUGGAGGAAUACCGGUGGCGAAGGCGGCCCCUGGACAAAGACUGACGCUCAUGUGCGAAAGCGUGGGGAGCAAACAGGGAUUAGAUACC
rnacentral:rRNA from 1 species